GAGAGUUGGGCCUGGUGCAGCUUGGACUUGGAUCCUCCUGGUGGCUGGGGGAAAAGCCAGGUGCAGCUUUGGCCCACCAUCUCAGCGGCCAGAGAGAGAGCCAGAACUUGCCCCGUUCAGUGCACAGAUGUGCUAUGGCAAUGAAUCGGCAUUAAGUAGCGAAUGGGACUGGUAUCACUUGUACCCUGACCCCUUUGUUGCAAAAGCUGGAAUGUAUACAGUGAAUGAUGAAGGGAACCAGAUGAGGAGAAAGGACAAUCUUGUUAAGAUAACUGGCCAAUCAAUUUUUCUACCUGACUCUACCAGAUAUUAGGAGCACAUUGAGCUACCACUGCUUUUUGUAUAGCUGAAGAUAAGUGACAGGGACCACAGAUCUCAGUAAAUCUACACAGAGAGCACUCAGGCUUUUAACCUGGAGACCUCCAUAUUUCUAAGGCAAGGAAGUAUGAACAAUUGUAUUUACAAAACACUAUUGUUGAGCCUUAAAAUACAAUGUUUACUACAGCUAAAAAAAAAAAAUGUUACUCAGCGGACUUCACCCUGCAAGAUGGUAAAUUUCCAAGGCAGUUGGAAUGUUAAAGCUCCAUUUCCCUAUUUUAUCCCAGCUCAAAAGCACCUUGACAAGAAGGUCAAGAUUCACACACAAAGGGGUCUCCUAUUGUAAGAACAGGUUUUUAACCCACUGUAAAAAUGGCCAGUAGACCUUUGAUAUAUAGGUAAAACCUUAAAUCACAGUCUCUGGUUAAGCCUUUGCUGAAGCCUUGCUGCGUAGUAGAAGCAAAGACACAAGGCCUUGAUGAGCCAAUAUAGAUAACAGGAAGCUCUGGGAAAACAGGACCAACACAGAAAAGCAGCUCUGUCUGUUUAUAAGCUAGGCAGCACAAC